UUAGCGGACGGAGCAAAGGUCGUAUUAUUUAAUGCAAUUUUUUUCUAAAAAAUGCUUAAUUAAUAAUUAUCAUACACAUUUAGCAGUAAAUGCCUUGUUUUUAUAAUCAAAUGUACUGGGUUCGAAACCCAGCGCACCUUUUUUUUUUUUCUAUUAACUUAUCCCCAAAUCUGCAAAUUUCCAAUUAGAUAGAUUAAACGUCAAACCCUAACUUCUUUCUCUUCUCUCUCCUAAUUCUCAUUGAAGAAAGCCAUAAACGAUGAUAUCUUCUCUCUCUACUCACCACUAAACGGAGGUCGGCGGUUCAACUCCACAGUUACCACCAAGCAGUGGCUCUUCGUGAUUUUGUCGAUCGCCAGAAUUUUUUUUACUCUAUCAUCGGCCAAUUUCUACACUCUACUUUGCCUCUCAUGUCCAGAAAACUUAGUUGGAAGUUUUAUCUUUUUACUACAUUUUUAAUAAGGGUGUACAAGUACAUGGAAGAAGAUAUAUAUUAAAGACAAAAGCGAAGAGUUAAUCUAUUAGCAUUUUAGAUUGUUUAUAGUAAUUUGACCCAUUUCCCUCUUUAAGGGUUACAUUCCUUCCCCCAUGUACUGAAUUAGAUAUAACAAGUAUACAUUUAGUGUUAUUAGAAAUUUACCAGCUUAGAUCAUGAAUUACAAGUUAUUUAGGAUUUUUAUGAGUAUUGUGUAGUAAAAUUUUAUUGGAUAUUGUUUUUUUGGAUUCUAAUUAAUG